rnacentral:rRNA from 1 species
UGAAAAGCACUUUGGAAGAGAGUUAAACAGUACGUGAAAUUGCUGAAAGGGAAACGCUUGAAGUCAGUCGCGUCUGCCGGAACUCAGCCUUCCUCUUGGUUGGUGCACUUUCCGGUAGACGGGUCAGCAUCGAUUUUGACCGUCGGAAAAGGGCUGGGGAAAUGUGGCACCUUCGGGGUGUGUUAUAGUCCUCAGUCGCAUACGGCGGUCGGGAUCGAGGAACGCAGCGGC